rnacentral:rRNA from 1 species
AUUGAACGCUGGCGGCAUGCUUUACACAUGCAAGUCGAACGGCAGCGCGGGCUUCGGCCUGGCGGCGAGUGGCGAACGGGUGAGUAAUGCAUCGGAACGUGCCCAGUAGUGGGGGAUAGCCCGGCGAAAGCCGGAUUAAUACCGCAUACGACCUGAGGGUGAAAGCGGGGGACCGAAAGGCCUCGCGCUAUUGGAGCGGCCGAUGUCGGAUUAGCUAGUUGGUGGGGUAAAGGCUUACCAAGGCGACGAUCCGUAGCUGGUCUGAGAGGACGACCAGCCACACUGGGACUGAGACACGGCCCAGACUCCUACGGGAGGCAGCAGUGGGGAAUUUUGGACAAUGGGGGCAACCCUGAUCCAGCCAUGCCGCGUGCGGGAAGAAGGCCUUCGGGUUGUAAACCGCUUUUGUUCGGGAAGAAAUCCUCUGGGCUAAUACCCCGGGGGGAUGACGGUACCGGGAGAAUAAGCACCGGCUAACUACGUG